UACUUCGGAGUCCACUGAACCCGAUCUCAGUUUCUCUGGAGGCUUCCCCAGGACCUUCUCCUCUUGGUCACUGCCUGAACUUUCUUCGUUGGCAUGCCGAGGAUCAGAAAUGUUCCUGCAUGCCUAUUAAUGUUCAGUGCAACGCGGGGUGUUUGCAGCUAGCACUUUCUUGGGGUGACUUGUGAUAUGCGUGAGGAAGUGGGUAUUUGUUUUUUAUGCUUGGAAAUGGCAUUUGAAAAUGCAAUCAGGUACUUUGGCUACAGGUGAUACAACAAAGGAGCCUUUUGCUCUUUGCAUACAGACUAACACAGAUCUGCCUAUUAUUGCCUUCUGGAAGGGAGAUUGCUGAUUUCAGUUCCCUUGCAGGCCUCUGUCCCAUCACAGCUGGCCCUUUUUAGGCACCCUCCCUCAAGAGGCAAUAAUUGCAGAAGUAACUUCUCUUUGAAUUCAGCACAGAUCUAUUCUUUCAUGUCUGGGGCAUAGCAAAAAGUCGGCCUUUUGUAGUGGCUACGAAUACUGCUUCCACCCCAAGAAAGUGAGCUGACUUCCACAGGCUCCUGGACAGAAGGUCACAUCUUGACCCCGCUGAGGUGAACAAGUCUUUCACAUCACUAGUGUUAGACUUUGGCCCCAGUGAAAUUAGGUUUGCAUGGGAGACUUGACAGGGCUUCACUGUGAUGGAAAUAGAACAAGCUGGCUUUACUGCCCUUGUUAUAAAAUACAGUAUUGAUUCCACGCUCAAGAGUUGAGGCUCCACUGAAUCUCAGUUCUUAAUAAUUCAUAUAAACUGCAAUGGAAAGUGCCACUGCGAGAAGUGCCAUCAAUAGAAUGUCUUUGCUGCGGAGGGAGCAUCAAGCAAAGCACCACGCUGCAUGGGGCAGUAAUUGCAACACUUGCUGCUGAUUUAUUGUCAGCAAGUUCUUUUGUGGAAGGACUCCUUACUCAGUUCUAGCCAUAAAACUCCGCUGGUUUCAGGAGGAAUUGUGGCAGCUUGCCACUUCUGAGUAUCUGCCUCCGAGCAUUUAUAUCUUUAUUGUAUGUAGAUUUUCUCCAGAAACCCAUUUGCUGCUGAGACCUACAUUAGACGCCACAGCUUACAAUUGUUCAAAAUUGAAGUGUAAUUUCCAUCUGCAAAGCUGAGCUCAUCGUAGCUCCCCAUGGUGUCACUGGAGAAGCACCAACUCCUUUCAGGUGGAGCUGGACUGGACUCCAGGGUACCCUGAAGAACCAAUUUAAAUUUAUUGUCACCAAUUUAAAUUUAUUGAUGUCGUCAACAGGUGAAACAGGUUAUAAGACUGUGCAAAUCUAAAUUUUGUAGGAAGCAACCAAGCAAGCAGUUAUGAUACAGAAAAUGGGCAAAACUGAGAAUAAUCCGACAGUUGUGUCAAGCACUUCUCGCUACAGCCUUCAAAUCAGAGAGAAAAACCUUCAGCUACCUUGUGAUCCGUGUCGUUCAUGUCCAUCUGAGGAGUUCAGUCACCGCACCAGCGGCAGCCGCAUUCAUUCACAGCUACGUGGUGCUUGCUGAAUCUUUGUGCUGUCUUUCUGGUGCAUAAUCUAGAAGGCUUUGUUAUAUGCCAAUCCUGCUUAAAUGUUUGUGCGCUUCAAAUAUUCAAAUGCUUCUGUCACACCCACAGAGCACUGGCAGAGCUUCUCUGCCUCAAUCCUCUCCUAGGCUGCUGUGGGAGAGGCUUGACUUUUUGGCCGUUGUGGGUGUUAAGUGCCUGCUCUGAAGUCUGGGCUCAGCCCUGCCAUGAGGUCUCCGUUCACACUUGAGCACAAAUUUUCCCAGCCUCAGCCAUGUGGGUACUCAGAACUUCUCAGUUUGUGCAUUCAGGAGUACGUAAUUGAACAAAAUCCACCAGCUUUGCGCAGGGUUUUAAAACACAAAUGCUUUUUAGUUAGUAGAACAAAAAUACGCAAGUUUACAAACAAGAAAAAAUAGACACCAACAGAAUACCUGUAUUUCCUGCCUGUUUCUUUACCAUCAUGGACAUUACCCAGAGUCCUGUAAGGUGAUCAGGUUUUCUUUGCAGUUCUUUUGAACCUGCAGUCUCUUUCAGCUCUGCCUUUUGGCUUGAACCUCAGCUAAAUCAGAAAAUGUGCACUGCAGAACAUUCCCUUCUUCCACGUCUUCUGCUCCAAAUUGUGUGUGUGUUGCUGCAAGUCUGUUUCCAUUUCCCAAAGACUGAUACAUCUUGAUUUACGUGUUUGGUUUUGAUAAGUUCCUCUGCUGCAAACAGCACUCCUCUGUACAAGGGCUGGAAGAAGUGACUCUUCCUGCUCUGUCACAUCUUCUUCUGACGAUACCUCCUCAAACAGAUAAGCCUCUUUCCAUCAGU